CGAUGAACCUCCUUCGGGAGGGGAUUAGUGGCGAACGGGUGAGUAACACGUGGGCAAUCUGCCCUUCACUCUGGGACAAGCCCUGGAAACGGGGUCUAAUACCGGAUACGACCUGGGAAGGCAUCUUCCCGGGUGGAAAGCUCCGGCGGUGAAGGAUGAGCCCGCGGCCUAUCAGCUUGUUGGUGGGGUGAUGGCCUACCAAGGCGACGACGGGUAGCCGGCCUGAGAGGGCGACCGGCCACACUGGGACUGAGACACGGCCCAGACUCCUACGGGAGGCAGCAGUGGGGAAUAUUGCACAAUGGGCGAAAGCCUGAUGCAGCGACGCCGCGUGAGGGAUGACGGCCUUCGGGUUGUAAACCUCUUUCAGCAGGGAAGAAGCGAAAGUGACGGUACCUGCAGAAGAAGCGCCGGCUAACUACGUGCCAGCAGCCGCGGUAAUACGUAGGGCGCAAGCGUUGUCCGGAAUUAUUGGGCGUAAAGAGCUCGUAGGCGGCUUGUCGCGUCGGAUGUGAAAGCCCGGGGCUUAACCCCGGGUCUGCAUUCGAUACGGGCAGGCUAGAGUGUGGUAGGGGAGAUCGGAAUUCCUGGUGUAGCGGUGAAAUGCGCAGAUAUCAGGAGGAACACCGGUGGCGAAGGCGGAUCUCUGGGCCAUUACUGACGCUGAGGAGCGAAAGCGUGGGGAGCGAACAGGAUUAGAUACCCUGGUAGUCCACGCCGUAAACGUUGGGAACUAGGUGUUGGCGACAUUCCACGUCGUCGGUGCCGCAGCUAACGCAUUAAGUUCCCCGCCUGGGGAGUAC
rnacentral:rRNA from 1 species